rnacentral:rRNA from 1 species
AUUGAACGCUGGCGGCAUGCCUUACACAUGCAAGUCGAACGGUAACGGGCCUUCGGGUGCCGACGAGUGGCGAACGGGUGAGUAAUAUAUCGGAACGUACCUUUCAGUGGGGGAUAACGUAGCAAAAGUUACGCUAAUACCGCAUAUUCUGUGCGCAGGAAAGCAGGGGACCUUCGGGCCUUGCGCUGAUUGAGCGGCCGAUAUCAGAUUAGCUAGUUGGUGAGGUAAAGGCUCACAAAGGCGACGAUCUGUAGCGGGUCUGAGAGGAUGAUCCGCCACACUGGAACUGAGACACGGUCCAGACUCCUACGGGAGGCAGCAGUGGGGAAUUUUGGACAAUGGGGGCAACCCUGAUCCAGCCAUGCCGCGUGAGUGAAGAAGGCCUUCGGGUUGUAAAGCUCUUUCGGCCGGGAAGAAAUCGUAUGGGCUAAUACCCUGUGCGGAUGACGGUACCGGCAUAAGAAGCACCGGCUAACUACGUGCCAGCCGCCGCUGUAACAC